GUUUUUUCGUGCGAAAUAACUCCUUAAAAGAUACCUCAUCACACACCAGAAAGACUUAUUGAUUUGCCUUAUUUUGAUGUUAUUUGUCCACCCGUGAUCUUUAUAAGGGUUAAUAUUGCCUGUAAGAUAAUAAUACACCAGACACACGGACCAUAGAUGCAAGGAAUGAGGGAAAAUAACGUCUGCUAUAAUUCUGUCAAUAAUCAACCCUAUUCCUUUGUUAUUUAGCCUUCCAGUGAUAACAAAUGUUUCUCUGAUGUUUGUGCCGUGUAUUGGAGACGAAAUAAGGUCAUAGAACGAUAGAAAUGACACUGAAAUAUGGAAAAAAUGGGAAGGUAAACAUGUGAGAGCUAUUUCGUGGAAGUUGGCGAAGUUAUUCCCUUAUGAUAACGUGACUGGCCUUCCUCCCUCGCGGUGAAUUCGCCAUUAAGAGUCAUGUCUAUUUUAUGUGAUUUCGUGGGAUUUAGCCGCUGUAAAGACACGCCAUGGAGAUCAAAGAGAAGUACACCCGAUGGCAGGCCGGACCCUAUCUCUCCUUCGGGGGCCAAGUUGUGAUUUGCUUGGCAGGAGCCGUGGUGCGGAACACUGGAGGCUGAGUGUGACGCUCCUUGUUGGCCGCUAUGAUGAUGAUGUGGUUUGGCUACUACCAGCUGAGAGGCCACAGCAUGCUUUCCUGAAGACCGGCCAGCAACCCGGACUCUAGAGCAGUGGUUUGCAUUGGUUGGUGUAGCAGUGCCGGGAGGUGCCAUAACACUCCCCUCAACAACAGUCUCUUCACCGACAAGUAAUUCUUCACCAACAAGCUUUUCAGCAGCUUGGAGAAAUAGAAUUGAAUGGCUGGCGUCUCGGUCUGCCUGCCUGCGGGACACCGCACACUCUGGAAGAAGAAAGAACACCAAGAUGUCAAGUUCCUGCAUAAUCAGCCUCUUAGUGAAGGAAAUGUGCUCUAUUUAUUUAAUAAAUGAUUGACAAAAAAAUAA